UGCCCAGCAACUCCUAUCACUACCUCCACGCGGUACCGGCCGGAAACUAUGAGCAACCUUAGGGAAGAUCGGGUAACCAACCCCGGUGGGAACUUUGGUCGUAGGCUGACAGGGAAGG
rfam:Aedes albopictus isolate Foshan contig78334, whole genome shotgun sequence.